AACGAACGCUGGCGGCAUGCCUAACACAUGCAAGUCGAACGAGACCUUCGGGUCUAGUGGCGCACGGGUGCGUAACGCGUGGGAACCUGCCCUUAGGUUCGGAAUAACUCCCCGAAAGGGGUGCUAAUACCGGAUAAUGUCUUCGGACCAAAGAUUUAUCGCCUUUGGAUGGGCCCGCGUUGGAUUUGCUAGUUGGUAGGGUAAAAGCCUACCAAGGCGACGAUCCAUAGCUGGUCUGAGAGGAUGAUCAACCACACUGGGACUGAGACACGGCCCAGACUCCUACGGGAGGCAGCAGUGGGGAAUAUUGGACAAUGGGCGAAAGCCUGAUCCAGCAAUGCCGCGUGAGUGAUGAAGGCCUUAGGGUUGUAAAGCUCUUUUACCCGGGAUGAUAAUGACAGUACCGGGAGAAUAAGCUCCGGCUAACUCCGUG
rnacentral:rRNA from 1 species